rnacentral:rRNA from 1 species
CCUACGGGCGGCAGCAGUGAGGAAUAUUGGUCAAUGGACGAGAGUCUGAACCAGCCAAGUAGCGUGAAGGAUGACUGCCCUAUGGUUUGUAAACUUCUUUUAUAUGGGAAUAAAACGUUCCACGUGUGGGAUUUUGUAUGUACCAUAUGAAUAAGGAUCGGCUAACUCCUGGCCAUCCGCCGCGGUAAUACGGAGGAUCCGAGCGUUAUCCGGAUUUAUUGGGUUUAAAGGGAUCGUAGGUGGAUUGUUAAGUCAGUUGUGAAAGUUUGCGGCGCAACCGUAAAAGUGCAGUUGAAACUGGCAGUAUUGAGUACAGUAGAGGUGGGCGGAAUUCGUGGUGUAGCGGUGAAAUGCGUAGAUAUCACGAAGAACUCCGAUUGCGAAGGCAGUUCACUGGACUGCAACUGACACUGAGGCGCGAAAGUGUGGGUAUCAAACAGGAUUAGAUACCCUAGUAGUC